GUUAAUAACACUGUCUUAGUAAAUUAAGCCACGUUAAGCUGUUUCACGUUAAGCGUUUUAGAAUGUCCCAGUGGCAAUAUAAUUUUCAACUGAUUAACAUUAUGAAAACUGGUAAAACCUUUAGGAACUUCAAAAGAUAAAACAGCGAAACUCCUAAUAUUAUUUCCAGUAAUUCCAAACUAUGUUCAUUUUCCCGAUUGAAUUGUCACAUAGGUUGCAAAAGUGCAUUCUGCAAACAGUAGCUAAGAUGGAGAUCCGUGUUGCAUUUGUUGGAAUUCAUCGCUGAAGGUUUGAUCAUGGCAGAUUUAGUCACACAAAUAGUACGAGUGGCUUGUGAAGAAACAAAGACUGGCUGUAUGACACUUUCAUUGAAGCAUAAUUGCACUGUGGAGAUCGCUAAACUACAGCGCACAUGUUGGUUCUCAGAUCAUCAUCGCUUCAUCGAAUGAAUAUUAUAACAAAUUUUAGCAAUUUUAGGCUAUUGCACUUAAGUAUGAGACUACCGCUCUACCGCUGUGUUGUUAUUCCAAAACACGUUUUUGCUCAUGUGAAGGAUGCUGUUUUACGUGGAUACUGGGACACAAGUAAAGUACAAAGCCUUGUUAAGUUUCAGCUUCGCUUUAAAUAAUUUGCUACACCAACGGGAUUUAUCUGGGUUUUUUUUUUUUUCUUUCUUUUUUUUCUCCUCUCAAAAACUUAAGUCUGACCCGAUGCAUGUGACAUCAGGUGCGACUUAUUUUCCAGAAAAUAAGGAAUGCUAAAUGAUAAAAUUGUGCUUUAUUAUUAGAAACUGCAUAUUUACAAAUGGGCACUGCCAUUGAUACAGGCAUCGAAAGGUAUUUUACACUAUAUUUGCUUGCUUUUUGAGCGCGGAAGUGUGAUAAAGACACUGAUUUAGGCUAUAUAAAUUCUCUAUUAUAGAUCAGAUAAAGGUAAACGUACACAUCAUGUACAAAAUAUGUCGUUUUAACGACAUAAUAUUUCGUUAUUACGAAAAAAUGUCGUUUUAACGACAUAACAUCUCGUUUUUAUGAGAAAAGAUGUCGUUUUAACAAUAUCUCGUUUUUACGAGAAAAGAUGUCGUUUUAACAAAAUCUCUUUAUUAUGACAUAAAUGAUUGGAAAAAAUGUUAUGUAUGUGGCAGCAAUGCGCCACCGUACAUUUGUUAACAUUAGUUAAUGUAUUAACUAAUAUGAACUAACAAUGAGCAAUACAUUUGUUAGAUAAUAAAAAUACAAUCCUUCAUUGUUUGUUCAUAUUAGUUCACAGUGCAUUAACUAAUGUUAACAAAAACAACUUUUGAUUUUAAUAAUCUAUUAGUAAAUGCUGAAAUUAACAUUAACUAAGAUUAAUAAAUGCUGUAGAAGUAAUGUUCAUUCUUAGUUCAUGUUAACUAAAUUAGUAAACUAAUGAAACCUUAUUGUAAAGUGUGACCACGUAAGUGAUAUGAAGUUUUAUGUCGCUUUUUUUUGUUAGUUUGACCUGCCGUUACUGAUUUUUUUUUUGCUGAUUCCAGUUAUCUUUCUAAGAACUAUAAUUGACCGCAUAUACAAACAAAAAUCUACUUUUUUUUUUUUCUGGAUAGUAGGGGUGUAACGGUACACGUAUUCGUACCGAACCGUUUCGGUACAGGUGCACGUGUGUACCGAAUAGGCAUGUGACGGUAUCAAAUUUUUAUGUUGCGAUAAUUGCUUAACCUUUUAUCACAGUAUACGGUAUUAUCACAGUUUAAGAACUCUUUUUCUUAUAAGAAAAAAAGACCUCUGAACAUUUAAAUACAAUAAUGCAAUAUACAAAAAAAAUAUAAAGUAAAAUCUUCCAAACAGAUUAAAGUGCAAAAGAAUUAUAAAGAUCAACAGGUAACACUUUACAAUAAGGUCUUAUUAUUUAACAGGGGUUAAUGCAUUAACUAAGAUUGAGCAAUAGCUACAUUUGUUACAGAAAGUAUAGGUGCGUCCCAAUUCGCAUACUUAUGCACUAUUCUAUGACGUUUUUUUAAGUAUAAAUAGUGCAAGAGGUGUGUUCACACUGAAAAUUCCCCAAAAAUUCCAUUUUAACAGAAAAAACAGAGUGUGGAAUGUUGGACACUUCAUGCCACUCAACUGUCGCAGCUUUAAUUACGUAGCGGAGGGGGAGGGGGUAUCAGACUCCGUUGUUAAAUGACAAAAUAACCUUAUACAAUUCACGCACUACAUGGAUAAGUACAUAGUGUAUAGUGCGUCAUUUGGGACUCAACUUAUUAUUUUUUGUUAUCUCAAUAAACAAAUUGUUAAAAAAAAACAUAUUAUUUUUUUGUUAAUGUUAGUUAAGAAAUACAACUGAUCAUUGUUAGUUUUAUCGCAGGUCGAUUGAAUAAGCUUUUGAUUUUAGUAAUGUUAUUAAACAUUAACUAGUAAGAAAUUGACAUUAACUAAGAUUAAUAAAUACUUUAAGUAUUUUUCAUUGUCAGUUUGGUAAUAAUGAAUGAACAUGUUAACUAAUGAAGCCGCGUGUCUCAAAGUUUUACUGAACAAUAACAAAUAAUCAGAACAUUUUCAAUCAUUAGGGGAUGUUGUAGUCCAGAUUAAAAUAUAAAAAUGUAUAAGUUUGAAAAUAAAUAGCCUAUUAAGUCUUUAAGUAUUAUGUAUUUGGUGCUGUGCUGAGAAACAUUGUGAAUACAAAAAAUUGAAUGGCUGUUAAAAAGCAUUUUAAAAACUGUUCAAUAGCGCAGCUGCUUUGUUUACGGGGUUUCCAGGGUAACCGCCGCAUUCGGCUGUUCCAUCAGCUGCUGUCAGAGAGUGAACGCACACUUUCAUUCAGCGCGUCUCCUUCACUCGUUCCGUCCUGUGCUUCUCGUGCACUUCUGAGUGGUGUGUCCCUUUGAUGCAGCAUACAGCGGUGUUGUGCAUUUAAUAAUGUGGUUUUAUAGAACACCACUGUUAAAAUACGUAGUAUACAUAAUAUAAACAUCAUCUUAUGUACAUUAUGUAUUAUAACAAAUGCCUGCAGAGGGCGUCAGCGGCCUGGUGUUACACUUUACAGCAGAUAAAAUCCUUGUUUAACAUUGGCCAAACACAUAUAAUUCAAAAUGUUUACUUUAUUCUUUAAUAUUUGGCCAAUUCUUUACAAUGCUACAGCCAUUGUAAUUUAUCCAACAAGUAUAUGUGAACCCCAGUGAAAAGUGGUAUAGAUCAAAUUUAAAUUUAUCGAUUUGUCUUCUGUUUUACACAUCCAUACAAAGGAUUUUUUUUUUUAUAUAUAUAUAUAUAUUUUAUUGGUGCAAUAUGAAUACAAACAUUACAAAGCAAAAUGUUACUUAACAAUUAACAGUUAUUUCAUUUUGCAUGCAUGUUGUCGUCAUAAUAUUACACUUAACAUUUGUCCCACACAGACAAAUACUACACAAAUAGAAAAAAAUACAUGCAAAUGAACAGCUACCUUUUUUUCCUAUGAAGAGGCCCUUCUUAAGGAGAUAUGGAGGUCCUUUAGAAUAAAAUUAAAAAAAAAAAGUUUACCAAGCUCGAUUUACCAAGCCAGAAUAAGUUGAAGUGGAACAAACUACUUUCUGACACAUGCACACUAAAAAAGGAUAUACUGAUAAAAUAUCCCACUGAAAAAAAAACUGACAAGGGAGACUGUGGUAUAGUGGCAUGAUAAAUGUUUUCCCUCGCAGUAUGUCAGCAAUCAGUUUGUGUGUCAUGCAUUUUUCUCAUUUUGUUCAUCGUGAAUCAGUUACUCUGUUGAAUCAGUUCUUUCGCAUGAAUUGCUCUAAUGGGUCAGUUGGUCUAACUAACAAGGGCCGCUCUCUCACCCUCUGAAUCGUUUGUAGCCCUUUCUCUCUAUUGUUGGUUUAUUGUUGUUGGUUUUUUUGUACAAAACCAACUGUUAUGUACGCUAGAGCAUACAAGGUAUUGCGUGUUGUGGGUAGUCUGUUUUGUGUGUUUUCUGUUUUUUUGUGUGUUACAGUUUCCAUUGGUUCCGCUGCCUGUCAUUCACCACCAAAGAUGACAUUCUUUGUUAUCGUGCUUGUACAGUUACGGUUGUCUGUUCUCGCCAGUCAUCAUGUUGUGUGUGAGGCUGGGAAGGUGUGAGCAGGUUUGUCCAUAGUCAAGAAUGUGCAUCAUUAGUUCUCAAGUGGUUUUUGAAAACCCAUGAUCCUCGAGAAUUUCCAGUAGCAGCUGAGGAAAAGGCAACUUUGCGUUGGACAACAUGAGAUCGGUAAGUGGUUGUUGAUAUUCUUCAUCAACACGUCUGAAGUGUGAGUGUUUAGUUUCCGUCAAGUUCAUAAUUGAUUCAGUGUCUACUCCCUUCAUGUUCACAGUCGGAAGAAUAUGCCUCGUGAGCGGUUACCCCCGGAAAGCGAUUGAGGGGACCCCUCCAAGGAACGGUGGUGUCUUUCUUUCUCUUCCUCACAUUAAUCUUUGAGCUCCAGCAGGAACAUGUUGAAACAUUUGCCAGAAGCUUGUGUUGUGCUCAGUUGUAGGAGGUGAGUCAGUGCCCCGCCUAAAAUCAGGUGUGUACAACAGUUCAGUUGCGAAGCUCGCUUCAUAUUCACAGCGGGGUUGGCGUAACUUUUUUGGGGUUACCCUGGGAGUUCAUCUGGAGUCCCUGAAAUCCCCUAAUGUAGACCGCUGCUCUGCUUUUCUGGACUAACAACAGACCUAUUUGUGCUGAAAAGUUUUAUAAGACUGCGUGUUAUGUUUUGUCACUCUUCAAAGUAAGAACUUUAAAACCUAAAACAAAUCUCUGAGAAAUUCAGAAAUAUUUUAAGAAUCUUUUAUUAUGGUAUUCUUACAGGAGACUGACUGAAAACUUGAUCAUCAAUAAGUGAUGGAGAGUCACAAAACUCCAGGAUAUGUGAUAAAUGUUGGUCCAUAAGGCAAAGCACAGAUUCGGUCAAUCUCCACUUGUGUCAGAGCGGCUAUGUCACUGUUCAAAGAGUCCUUGUGUGAACACAACACACAGAGGGGACGAGGCACAAAAAGCAGCAGGUACGGCUAAUCCAGUGUGCUGAUUUAAGGCCCCUCCUCUUGCCAGCACGAGUGCUGUGACGGUCGGUGAUUAAACAUACUAGAUCUGUACCGCCACUCCCUAUACACAAAUCAAGCAGUCUGCGGAAAGCACCAACUACCAAUGUGGGCACCAUCGGCGCAACAACCGCACCCCCUGAAAGUGAUUGUGAAUUUGAGUGCAAUGUCAACGAGAGACACUGCCUGGCCAGAAAGCGGUUCUGUGUAGGGCAGAUAUUUGACCAGUUGCAGCCCUGCACAGUUUGUUGUGGCGCCUGAGAAAAGGUUCUUCGAGUUGUAACAACUGAGCUUGUUAAGCACUUUCGGGCAUUUAUUCAUGUCACAUUUGUUCCCAUCUGUGGGCUGAGCUGUACUGGCAGGUUGAGCUGUCUAAAGGAAUAAAAUGUCACUUGAACAGAAUCUUUUUAUGCUAACCUAAUUAAUUAAAUCAUUUGUACUUGUUCUCUUUUUCCACAAUGUUUUUUGUGAAGUUUUUUUUUUUUUUUUUUUUUUUUUUUUUUUUUCUGUAUCUAAAGUAAAAAGAUGUAUAAAGUAAGAAAACUGAAAAUAAAUUCAUGAGAAGUUCACAAAUGUAAAUAUUUUGUUAAGUCACAUAUCAAUUUAACAGAAUUACAAAUAAAAGUAGUAAUAAAAUGUGAUGAAUGUAGGUCACAAAAGCAAAGCACAGGCUCAGGCACUGUAAAGGUUUCAGAGUCCGGUGUCGCCUAGUCCUUAGAUAACAGUCAUGGUAGUGUGUCAGCCCGAAGAUGUAGGAAGCUUCUCGGGUAAAGUAGUGUGUCAGCCCGAAGACGUAGGAAGCCUCUCUGGUAAAGUAGUGUAUCAGCCCGAAGACGUAGGAAGCUUCUCGGGUAAAGUAGUGUGUCAGCCUGAAGAUGUAGGAAGCUUUUCAGGUAAAGAAGUGUGUCAGCUCGAAGAUGUAGGAAACUUUCAGGUAAACAGUCAGGACUUGAGCAUUUUUGGGAUCGUGUGCAGGCAUGUCCAGUCCAGAAACCAGCCUUUUCAUGCAGUGCAGUGUCAAGUAUUCAUUAGAGAAUACAGCCGUCAACUCGAUAGUGUUUCAUAGAUGGAUGUGCUUCUUGGUGAUUGAGUUCGCAAGCUCUUCUCUGUCCAAAAUUAUUUCAUGUGAUUCAGUAGCCAUUGGUAAACAAGCUGAAGCACAUUCCUAAAUAAUGCACUUAUGCUCCCCUCAUCAGCUUCCCUCCCGCAAUGUAUUGGAAUGUUAAUAACACAGUUUUGAUUAUUAUGCACAUCAAGGUACAUGCUCACUGGUGUAGUUUCAACAGGCAUCUCCACUCCAGGUAAACAGAUUUGUUUUAGGUUUUUUAUAUCAAACAGCUGACUUCACAAGCUGUUACAGGUCAGAGUCCAGUGUCGUCUAGUCCUUAGAUAACAAUCACGGUAAUGUGUCAGCCCGAAGAUGUAGGAAACUUUCUCGGGUAAAGUUGUCUGUCAGCCCGAAGAUGUAGGAAACUUUCUCUGCUAAUUUUUCGGGGUCACCAGUCCCGAAAAUUCAGCCGAGAAGUUUGGUGAUCCCGAAAAAUUAGCAGAGAUAAUUUCCUACAUCUUCGGGCUGACACACUACUUUACUUCAAUGAAUAGACACAACUGAACAAAAACAUUGUAUUUUAUAACAUAAACUUAGUUAUAAAAAAUAUUAAUAAACUUACUAUAAUCAGUUUAAUUCCUAAUGUUCCCACCUACAGUAAGUGAGCAUAGGCUAUGUAUUGUACACCAAGGAAAGCACAAUGAAGCACACUGCGUGCGCAAGUAUGAGAUUUAUUCUUGGUUACAAUUGUAACUGGUAGGAAACUACAAUGAAAAUCUCUUCAGUUUGCUCAUUAAUACUCAUAAAAUUGCAAACAGUAACAAAUUAUACAUUUAGGUAGGUGCAUUAUAAACCAAGAAAAAAAUGCAUAGCCUACUUUUAAAUUUACCUUAUUUUUCACAAAACAACACUAAAUUAUGCAUUUUUUUUAAAUGUGACUCAGUCAUUUACCUGUUUAAAACGAGUCUCUUUUUUUCUUCAUUUACUAUUGCUGAUGUUGAAACUUUCUGUUAAAUUACACAAAUCACAGGUUUGUCCAUAGUCAAGAAUGUGCAUCAUUAGUUCUCAAGUGUUUUUUGGAAACUUGAUCCUCGAGAAUUUCCAGUAGCAGCUGAGGAAAAGGCAUCUUUGCGUUGGACAACAUGAGAUCGGUAAGUGGUUGUUGAUAUACUCCAUCAACACGUCUGAAGUGUGAGUGUUUAGUGUCCGUCAAGUUCAUAAUUGAUUCAGUGUCUACUCCCUUCAUGUUCACAGUCAGAAGAAUAUGCCUCGUGAGCGGUUACCCCCGGAAAGCGAUUGAGGGGACCCCUCCAAGGAACGGUGGUGUCUUUCUUUCUCUUCCUCAUAUGAAUCUUUGAGCUCCAGCAGGAACAUGUUGAAACAUUUGCCAGAAGCUUGUGUUGUGCUCAGUUGUAGGAGGAGACUGACUGAAAACUCAAUCAUCGAUAAGUGAUGGAGAGUCACAAAACUCCAGGAUAUGUGAUAAAUGUUGGUCCAUAAGGCAAAGCACAGAUUCGGUCAAUCUCCACUUGUGUCAGAGCGGCUAUGUCACUGUUCAGAGUCCUUGUGUGAACACAACACACAGAGGGGACGAGGCACAAAAAGCAGCAGGUACGGCUAAUCCAGUGUGCUGAUUUAAGGCCCCUCCUCUUGCCAGCACGAGUGCUGUGACGGUCGGUGAUUUAACGCAUACUAGAUCUGUACCGCCACUCCCUAUACACAAAUCAAGCAGUCUGCAGAAGGCACCAACUACCAAUGUGGGCACCAUCGGCGCAACAACCGCACCCCCUGAAAGUGAUUGUGAAUUUGAAUGCAAUGUCAACGAGAGACACUGCCUGGCCAGAAAGCGGUUCUGUGUAGGGCAGAUAUUUGACCAGUUGCAGCCCUGCACAGUUCGUUGUGGCGCCUGAGAAAAGGUUCUUUGAGUUGUAACAACUGAGCUUGUUAAGCACUUGUGGGCAUUUAUUCAUGUCACAUUUGUUCCCAUCUGUAGGCUGAGCUGUACUGGCAGGUUGAGCUGUCUAAAGUAAUAAAAUGUCACUUAAUGGACACUUAAGUUUAUGGAAAGAAAAUGAAAUAUUACAUAAAUUAAUGUUGAAUGAUGUUCUUGUUGUGUAGACUAAUCAGAUAAGUGUAAAUUUAUUUGUAUUUUUUAAGUCUAAUCCAAACAUUAGUCGUUAAAGACAUAAUUAUUAAUAACUAACUGGUACAGCAAACAAGUGUCUCUGAAACUAUUUUAUACUUGAUCAUAUAAAUCAGUUGAUAAUGCAUUAUGGCCAUGUGCAUUGAAAAAGCAAAUGCAUGGCUUAUAAAUACAUUUAAAAAUAAUAUAAAUGUAACUAUAACCGUUCUUAUAAUACAGUAUAGGUCUUAAUGAGUCUUUAUACAUAUAUUUAUAGAAUAGUAAUACUUACUUAUAAAUAAGUAUAAAUGGGGCUAUUAUUCAUUAUAAGCAUGGUCUUCAUAGAAAGUGUUACCCAAAGGUCUUAAGGGUUUGUAAUGACAUGAGGGUGAGUAAUUAAUGACAGAAUUUUCAUUCUGGGGUGAACUAACCCUUUAAUACUGUUACUGCAACCUUGGCUGUGCCUACAGCAGCGGCACUCUGAAUUACCUGCUACAGCAGAGCAGAGCAAGCUUUAGGCAACAUGUUUCAGCAAGUCUGCCAGUUCCUGUUGUGGCAAAUAAUUCAUAUAAGGAAGAGAAAGAAAGACUUCGCUCUCAACAGACUUUUGACAGAGCUCAAACGCCCUCGUUUUUUUUUUUUUUUUUGAAGGGUCCUCUUAAUCAAAUUUCAUGGGCAUUUCUCUGUGAACACGAAGUGAGUUCAUCUGCGAUCAAGAGCUCCGACACCGAAUAUAGAAAACGAACUGUUGUACACACCGGACCAAUGACGGACUCACGGGACUCUCUUACAGACACUUCAGACAUGUUGGAGUAUUUUAACAACCUGAUCAACCAUUUUCCAGGCACUAAGUUGCCUUUUCUCGUCCGCAGGCUUGUCUUUUUCAGAGGGUCACGGGUUUCAAAAAAACACUUGAGGACUAACCAUGAGAAUUCUUGACAGUAGACAAACCUGUGACCUGUGUAAUUCAACAGAAAGAUUCAACACAUGCAGUACAGCCACUGUAAAUGAAGUAGGCAAAAUGGUCUGUUAAAAUUCUUUAGUUUAUGUUCUGAUUGUUUUUUAUAACUUUCUUCAAUAAAAUAUUAUUUUGCUGGGUACUGUAGCUAUCUAAACUGUAUAUUGCGUUCAAACAUGUCUUUUAAAUGGGCUUUGAAGUCAAACAAAGUGAAGGACCAGAACAGCAGCAACAAGAAGGAUCGACCAGUGCCGCAGCGGGUUCCAGUGCCGCAGCGGGUGCCAGAGCCGCAGCUCUCUGUUGUGCAACCAGAGCCACAUAAAUAUGUCUACUAACAUUCAUUCGUUCAUUCAAAAUUUGUUCCAGCAAUUUAAUUGCAAAUUGAGCCAGUAUAUUUGGUACCACAGCUGGAUUUCUUCACCAUCUUCUACACCAUGGACGCAGUUACUUUUAACUUCAGUGUUAAAGUUGAGGUGAAUAUAACGAAUGAAGGCCGUGGAGUUCAGUGGAGGGUAAGCACUGUCUUGGACUCUCCAACUCAGUUCCAUCUGAGCACCAUCUUCUACGUGCUUCAGCGUGCUUGGCAGUGGAUGCGCAUCAGAAGAGCUCUCUGAACACAUUUGACAGAGGACAAUCUGAGAUCAUCAUCAUCAUCACCCCACAGAGUUGGAACAAAGAUGUCGCCGCAAAGAUAUUUCGUUCCAUUCAUCCACAAUCCAUCCUCAGUGAGUCAAUGGGACUAUUGAUGGUGAAAUCUGAAAAGUGGAUCGACAGACAAUCCGCCAGCCUGACCAAGACAAGAAACCCAUGGCUGAUUUUAUUGUAUCUCCUGGACUUUCACAACCUUGUCUGAGUCGUCCAGGGCACUAUUAUUCAGUAAAACCAUUCAUUUGUUAAUCCCACUGUUUUGUGGCUCUUCAGUGAUGAUGUGAUUGAGUUUUAGCCUGAAUUUGUCAAAGAUAUAUAGGCUAUUCUUUAAUAAAAGAUCAUGAAAUCCUA